rnacentral:lncRNA from 10 species
GGCGUUGACUCCUCCGCGGAGAGAGCGGAUGACCGGCCUCGGCGGCUAGCCUGUGGCCAGGGUGAAAUAGCAGGAGAGGCGCGGAAGCGCUCUGCCCAGAGUUUUGAAGUGCUCAGCGUUUGCGAUCGGCCACCUCUUUAUCCAGUACUACUUGGGACCCCGUUCCCUCCCACCCGCCUUUGUAGAACGGGAAAUUGAGGCCCCGAACGGGAAAAGAGCUCCUAGAAUGUUAGAGGCUCUUGCCUCACUAUAACUCAUUCCCCAUCAAAGAUUCCAGUAACCGGAAGGCUAAAAUGUAAAUUAAAAGGCCGGGCGCAGCGGCUCACGCUUGUAAUCCCAGCACUUUGGGGGACCGAGUAGGGAGGAUCGCUUGAACCCAGGGGUUCGAGAUCAACCUGGGCAGUAUAGCCGAACCUUGUCUCUAUAAAACAUAAAAUGUAAAUUAAAAUGUAAUUGUAGUUUUUGUUAAAAUCCUUAGUGGGUUUAAUGGCAUUUGUAGGUAAAAUCAAACCCUCCCUAUGCCAAGGUACUGUGUGCUUCGGGCACUCAUCUCUGCCCCCCUCCCUCGCUGAUCUCCACCCAUACUGGCCCCCUUUGCUCGCCACGCUUGUUCUCUUUAGGGACCUAAACAUUGGUUCUGGCCAUCAGAUUUCUUCUGGUCUCUCAGGUCUCAGCCAAAACACCAGCCCUCUCCAUGGCGAGGCCGUCCCUGACCACCCUGUGUAAACUAGCCACAGCCAGUCACAUCCUUUCAGGUCAUCUUGAUUUAAUUAUCUGCCUCGAACUGGCCACUAUUGAGUAUGUAUUAAUUUGUUCAUUCCUCACCUUGUUUGUAGCUUGCAUGUGCCCACUAGAUGGGGGUGAAGGAGGGCCUGUGAAGGAAGCAUGAUUAACUUCCUUUCCUUCCCUUUCCGGUGAACGUCUUCACAGUCAUUCAAGGAACUCCCUUUCUUAUCUAGAGAUGAUCCCCAAGUUUCUGUCACCCAUCAGAUUCAGAGUUUCCAAAACGUCAUAAGCUGUCUUGGGAAUCAGAACACAAACACUUGGGUUCUACUCCUGAUGCUGCCCCUUGUGGCUGAAGACAAAUCAUUUCACCUCAAUGGGCAUCAAUGUUUUCACCUUUCAAAGGGUAGUUAAUGCCCUAGCACCCAGAGUCCUGGAGAGGGUCAGGUAAGGCAAUCAGUGUAAAGUACUUUGUUUAAGCCCUAAAGACUGCACAACAAGCAGAAUAAACAGUUUCUGGAUGUUUAUCACGUGCCUGCGCAGAACUCUUCACAUUCAUUACAUGAGUUAAUCCUCACAACAGCUUUAGAGGAGGUGCCAUAUUAUGAUUCUUCUUUUUUUUGGUGAGGAAAUGAGGCUCAGAGAUGUUAGGUGAUCUGCCCAACGUCCCACAGUUAAUAAGUGACAGUAGCAUGAUUUUAACACAGUCACGUCUGACUGCAAAGCCCACUCUUAACCACUACACUCACUGUGCUAUGCAAAUGCAAGAAUCCACUCCAAUCCUUGCAGCUGACAUUUAUUCAUUUAUUUGUUUGUUUUCUUGUCUGUGUGGGGAAGCCAGGACCUUGCAUAUAACAGGCACCAAUAAAGAUUGGCCAAAUUUGGCCGGGCAUGGUGGUUCAUGCCUAUAAGCCACUUGAGCUCAGGAGUUAGAGACCAGCC